rnacentral:rRNA from 1 species
GACGUAGGGUCCAAGCGUUGUCCGGAUUUACUGGGCGUAAAGAGCGCGUAGGCGGCUCGUUAAGUGUGAAGUGAAAUCUCCAGGGCUCAACCCGGAAACUGCUUCGCAUACUGGCGGGCUAGAGGAAUGCAGAGGUUUGUGGAAUUCCUGGUGUAGCGGUGAAAUGCGUUGAUAUCAGGAGGAACACCCAUGGCGAAGGCAGCAAACUGGGCAUUAUCUGACGCUGAGGCGCGAAAGCGUGGGUAGCAAACAGG